rnacentral:rRNA from 1 species
UCGGAACGUGCCCGAUCGUGGGGGAUAACGAAGCGAAAGCUUUGCUAAUACCGCAUACGAUCUACGGAUGAAAGCAGGGGACCGCAAGGCCUUGCGCGAACGGAGCGGCCGAUGGCAGAUUAGGUAGUUGGUGGGAUAAAAGCUUACCAAGCCGACGAUCUGUAGCUGGUCUGAGAGGACGACCAGCCACACUGGGACUGAGACACGGCCCAGACUCCUACGGGAGGCAGCAGUGGGGAAUUUUGGACAAUGGGCGAAAGCCUGAUCCAGCCAUGCCGCGUGCAGGAUGAAGGCCUUCGGGUUGUAAACUGCUUUUGUACGGAACGAAAAGACUCUGGUUAAUACCUGGGGUCCAUGACGGUACCGUAAGAAUAAGCACCGGCUAACUACGUGCCAGCAGCCGCGGUAAUACGUAGGGUGCAAGCGUUAAUCGGAAUUACUGGGCGUAAAGCGUGCGCAGGCGGUUAUAUAAGACAGAUGUGAAAUCCCCGGGCUCAACCUGGGAACUGCAUUUGUGACUGUAUAGCUAGAGUACGGCAGAGGGGGAUGGAAUUCCGCGUGUAGCAGUGAAAUGCGUAGAUAUGCGGAGGAACACCGAUGGCGAAGGCAAUCCCCUGGGCCUGUACUGACGCUCAUGCACGAAAGCGUGGGAAGCAAACAGGAUUAGAUACCCUGGUAGUCCACGCCCUAAACGAUGUCAACUGGUUGUUGGGUCUUCACUGACUCAGUAACGAAGCUAACGCGUGAAGUGACCGCCU